GACGAACGCUGGCGGCGUGCCUAAUACAUGCAAGUCGAGCGAGUCCUUCGGGGCUAGCGGCGGACGGGUGAGUAACACGUAGGUAACCUGCCUGUAAGAUUGGGAUAACUCUCGGAAACGAGUGCUAAUACCGAAUACAUAUGAGGAAUGCAUGUUCUUCAUUGGAAAGGCGGAGCAAUCUGCCACUUACGGAUGGGCCUGCGGCGCAUUAGCUAGUUGGUGGGGUAACGGCUCACCAAGGCGACGAUGCGUAGCCGACCUGAGAGGGUGAUCGGCCACACUGGGACUGAGACACGGCCCAGACUCCUACGGGAGGCAG
rnacentral:rRNA from 1 species